AGCCAAUGCUUGAGGUGAAGUAGGGAUCCAUCCUAGCAGAGCCACCUCAUGGAGCGUGGAGAAUAGAGGAUUGGACCCACCUCUGCUGAAAGUGGAGCCCUUCUCCAGUCCUCUGAAAUCUUCUUCCCAGGUAGAGUGCACUCUUGGUAUCAGAGGUG
rnacentral:lncRNA from 1 species